GCCAUGAUCUGCCCUGAAAAGCAAAAAUUUCGGAUUGAAAAUCCGCGUGUCGCUGGUUCGAUUCCGGCUCUGGGCACCA
rnacentral:tRNA from 1 species